AAUCAACUAGUUCUCUCUCUAGUGAACCCCCAUUUUGGCUUUAUUUCUGGGGACUUCUCUAUACCCCAGGCCUCUUCUCUCCCCAGGAGAAAAAUGGCAAGUGGAAGGUUUGUUCCCCUGAUUGAAAGCUAUCAAACACAGCUGAUUUAUACAAAAUGACUGCCUGCCAUUCUAGCCAUACUUUCAGUAGGUCAGCCAAUCAUGAUUCCGCGGACCCUCCUACCUUAGGGUGGGCCCAUGAAACAGACCCAGCCAAUCAGCACUAGCCAUCUGCUUUGCCCAGGAAGUGAACACCUGACCAAGCUGGGACAAUAGGAGUUAUCCCGUCAGAGUCUGUAGCCCGCAGCUUUGGGCCUGCUAGAGGAGACUCAGCUUCAGGAGGAGAGAAGCAAACAGAGGCCAGUGAGCUGGCUCGACUGGUAAAGUUGCUUGCUGCCAAGCCUAGACCUGGGUUCUUCAGUGGAAGAAGAGACAUGACUCGCACGAGUUGUCUUCUGCUCCCGUACUCAUGCAUGGCGUGCAUGCAUGUGCGAGCGUGUGCGGGCACACACCCCAUCCCUUCUGGCGCCAUUACUACUCAUAUUCGCCUUCCUUCUCCAUGAGGUGAAUUUCCGUGAUCGCUCCAUGGACAACGGUCCCCAGCACACCCGGUACUACUUCAUAUCACCUGGCCUAGCUACACUGAAGACAAGACAAAGAUCAGGAGACCAACAGGAGACUGAAGCUAUCUUGGGAUAGAUGUCACCUGCUGCCAUGGCCUCUUGAGGACCUCUGUGACAAGCUUUGGGCUGGAAGGGAUCCCAGGAAGAUAGGAAGACCGAAGACUUGCCCUAACCGGCCCUGCACCAUCUGUAACAGAAAACAGACUCAGCUUCCUGCGUUGGAGAGAGAGAGAGAGAGAGAGAGAGAGAGAGAGAGAGAGAGAGAGAACACAUGUGUUUUGAAGAGAGGCUUACACUGUGCCUCAGGCUAGCCUGGAAUGUGCUACGUAGCCCAGGCUUGCCUCCAAGUCUUAGCAAUCUUCCUGCCUCAGCCCCAAGCACUAGGAUAGAAGUUACCUCACGUGGGUUUGAGCUGUAUUCUCAGCCCUCUUUUUACUUUUUACUUUGAGACACGGACUCAUUAAGCUGCUCAGGCUUGCCUUGAACUUUGGUUCCUACAGUCUCCCGUUUCUGUAUAACUGUGAUUGCAGGCUCAUAUGACUAGGUCUUGCCCUGGCUUCCCCCACCCCCGGCUUUCUAAGAGACUGCAAAACUGUCCAGCUAUGUAUGAGUUGAGCCGGCUUCAAUCUGCCCUGCACUGGGGACGCUCGGGAAGAACUCACCCUGUAUUUCUCCACUUGCUCAGAGACUCACCCAAUCUUCCCUCCCCUGCCCUCUGCCCUACUUAGCACAGGCUCAUGCAUGCUGUACACUGUGCCCUGAGAGCCCAGGCUGCAGCAGGCAUGCCUGUCCUGCCGCUGUCACUAGCUGUGUGGCUUCAGGCAAUAUAUUUACCUCCUCUGAACUUCAGUUUCUUUAAGAAAUGGAAAAGGUUUCAAGAAUGAACGAACAUAAAGGGCUUGAAACUGGGGUCAGAGAGACAGCUCAGUGGCUAAGAGUGGACACUGCACUUGGAGAAGACCUGAGUUUGGUUCCCAGCACCCACACCAGGCAGGUCAUGCCCUGUAACUCCAGCUCCAAGGGAUCCCACAUACCUGGCCUCUGCAUGCCUACACCCACUCACACGCACAUACUCACACAUAUAGAUAAAUAAUAAAAAUUGGAAGAAUAAGCUGUUUGGGGUUAUUCCCAGCUCAUAGUAAGUACUGACUGAAUGAAGAUUAACUCUUGAUAAACUGAUGCUAGGGUGUGUGUGUGUGUGUGUGUGUGUGUGUGUGUGUGUGUGUGUUCAGGACCUCCUCCACACUAGGUAGGAGACCCCUAUGGGCAGAAACACACCUUGCUCAUUUAAUUUUGAAGAGUAUAUGUGUGAGUGCCUGCAUGUACGUAUGUUCACUGUGUGCAGCAGCAUCCAGAGGUUCGAAGAGGAUGUCAGAGUCCCCACCUGGCGCUGAGCAACAGGUGGCUGUAACCUGCCAUCAGAUACCCAGGA